rnacentral:misc_RNA from 1 species
GAAAUGCGAUAAGUCAUGUGAAUUGCAGAAUUCAGUGAAUCAUCGAAUCUUUGAACGCACAUUGCGCUCGCCAGUAUUCUGGCGAGCAUGCCUGUUCGAGCGUCAUUUCAACCAUCAAGCUCUGCUUGCGUUGGGGAUCCGCGGCUGCCCGCGGUCCCUCAAAAACAGUGGCGGGCUCGCUAGUCACACCGAGCGUAGUAACUCUACAUCGCUAUGGUCGUGCGGCGGGUUCUUGCCGUAAAACCCCCAAUUUCUAAGGUUGACAUCGGAUCAGGUAGGAAUACCCGCUGAACUUAAGC